GUUUUUUACAUGAUUCAUUCCUCUUUUUCCUUAGAAUAUCAUUGUGAUCAUUGAUCAUAAUCUGUUUCUACUGCUCAUGUUUAAAUGAGAUACACGUGAAAUCUACCAUGUGUCAGAGAUGCUUAGAUGAGAAGACAGAGCCCCUGCUUAUUGGAAACUAGGCCGGCAGCCUGGUGACUGAACAGCGUCAAAGAGAUGGAGAGAGAGGGAGACGUGCUGGCAAAAAGACAGAGCGAGGACAGAGCAAGCCCCGAUGCUGAAGGUGAAGAAAAAGAUGUUAAUAGAGAUGUGAAAAGGAAAGCUUGAAUUAUGACGCUCCUCUGAUCCAGAACACCAUUGCAAAACCUGGGUUGGUACAGUGGAGGAUAAAAUCAGCCUCAGGGCCACAUAGCCUGAGCAAGAUUCCAAGGUAUGUUUCCCUCACAAUCAUUAUGUUUAAUGGCUUACUCUUAGGAGAUCUUGGUUGUAAGUUCACACUUGGAAAUGAUUGCUUUUUGGUCAUCAAAUGGCACUUUCUUGAAGCCAAGAAUCACGUUUUUAUUUACCCACACAGUACUCAACCAUCCUCCAUCGUAUAGAUUCUCAAUGAAUUAUUGAUGGAAAUAUGUUAUACUUUUUUGGAUCUCUAUUUCUAAUCUAUGGACCUAAUAAUAUUCUCCAGACUUACCCAGACAAUAUUGACAUCCUAGUUUGACAAACGACAGAGCCAUCACACCAAGCUAAGGAUUGCCUAAUAAGGAGGCAAAGUUAAAAAUACAACAAAACACAUUUAACUUAAUUUUUUCCAAAGCACAAGCUCUGCU